rnacentral:rRNA from 1 species
AUAUUGGACAAUGGGCGAAAGCCUGAUCCAGCAACGCCGCGUGAGGGAUGACGGCCUUCGGGUUGUAAACCUCUUUCAGUAGGGACGAAGCUAACGUGACGGUACCUACAGAAGAAGCACCGGCCACCUACGUGCCAGCAGCCGCGGUAAUACGUAGGGUGCGAGCGUUGUCCGGAAUUAUUGGGCGUAAAGGGCUCGUAGGCGGUUUGUCACGUCGGGAGUGAAAACUCGGGGCUUAACCCCGAGCCUGCUUCCGAUACGGGCUGACUAGAGGUAUGCAGGGGAGAACGGAAUUCCUGGUGUAGCGGUGAAAUGCGCAGAUAUCAGGAGGAACACCGGUGGCGAAGGCGGUUCUCUGGGCAUUACCUGACGCUGAGGAGCGAAAGUGUGGGGAGCG